GACGAACGCUGGCGGCGUGCCUAAUACAUGCAAGUAGAACGCUGAAGGAGGAGCUUGCUUCUCUGGAUGAGUUGCGAACGGGUGAGUAACGCGUAGGUAACCUGCCUGGUAGCGGGGGAUAACUAUUGGAAACGAUAGCUAAUACCGCAUAAUAGUAGAUGUUGCAUGACAUUUACUUAAAAGGUGCAAUUGCAUCACUACCAGAUGGACCUGCGGUGUGUUAGCUAGUUGGUGGGGUAACGGCUCACCAAGGCGACGAUACAUAGCCGACCUGAGAGGGUGAGCGGCCACACUGGGACUGAGACACGGCCCAGAGUCCUACGGGAGGCAGCAGGAGGGAAACGGCGGCAAGGGGCGAAAGUCUGAGCGAGCAAGGCCGCGGGAGGGAGGAAGGUUUUCGGGUCGUAAAGCUCGGUUGUAAGAGAAGAACGAGUGUGAGAGUGGAAAGUUCACACUGUGACGGUAUCUUACCAGGAAGGAACGGCUAACUACGUG
rnacentral:rRNA from 1 species